GUGAACCGGGAAGAGCUCAAAUUUGAAAUCUGGCGUCCUCAGGGCGUCCGAGUUGUAAUCUAUAGAGGCGUUUUCCGUGCCGGACCGUGUCCAAGUUCCUUGGAACAGGAUAUCAAAGAGGGUGACAAUCCCGUACUUGACACGACGACCGGUGCUCUGUGAUACGUCUUCUACGAGUCGAGUUGUUUGGGAAUGCAGCUCAAAAUGGGUGGUGAGUUCCAUCUAAAGCUAAAUAUUGGCGAGAGACCGAUAGCGAACAAGUACCGUGAGGGAAAGAUGAAAAGCACUUUGGAAAGAGAGUUAAACAGUACGUGAAAUUGUUGAAAGGGAAACGAUUGAAGUCAGUCGUGACCGAGAGGCUCAGCCGGUUCUGCCGGUGUAUUCCCCUCGGUCGGGUCAACAUCAGUUUUGUCCGGUGGAUAAGGGCGGUAGGAAGGUGGCACCCUCGGGUGUGUUAUAGCCUGCCGUCGCAUACAUCGGGUGAGACUGAGGAACGCAGCUCGCCUUUAUGGCCGGGGUUCGCCCACGUCCGAGCUUAGGAUGUUGACAUAAUGGCUUUAAACGACCCGUCUUGA
rnacentral:rRNA from 1 species